rnacentral:rRNA from 1 species
UACGAAGGGGGCUAGCGUUGCUCGGAAUCACUGGGCGUAAAGCGCACGUAGGCGGAUUGCUAAGUCAGGGGUGAAAUCCUGGAGCUCAACUCCAGAACUGCCUUUGAUACUGGCGAUCUCGAGUCCGGGAGAGGUGAAUGGAACUGCGAGUGUAGAGGUGAAAUUCGUAGAUAUUCGCAAGAACACCAGUGGCGAAGGCGGCUCACUGGUCCGGUACUGACGCUGAGGUGCGAAAGCGUGGGGAGCAAACAGG